AGCUCAUCCUCACCAGCGUAUGAAUGUGUGUGUGAAUGACUGAUUAUUUUGUGACGUGUCUUGGGGGGGUUGUUGAACCCUAAGAAGGCGCUAUACAAAUACAGGCCAUAACAAGUGAGGGGUGAUUUCACUCACGGGCUGUUUAACAAUCUUUAAUGCCUACCUGAUUGAAAGCAGGUUUGUUUUCUUUUUUCACUGCAGUUAAUUCUGCACUUUUAAAUAAAAUAGCUUUACAGUAGUCCCUCGCUACAACGCGGUUCACCCAUCACGGCUUCGCUGUUGGGUGAUUAUUUUUUUCCAUCAAUAACUAAAAUGCAACAAUGAUAAUUAAUGUUAAAGAAAAUCCAAUCAGAAAAUGGAACCCUAACCAAUCGGCAAUCGGGAGAGGUGGGACUAGACAACAAAGAACCAAUCAGAGUCUGGAGCCAGCUGCAGUUUGGACAAACUAGCAAUAACCACAAGCACCGGUAACAGUCGCAAGAAAUAGUCUGUGGCUGGGUAGAGACAAAUUAAAUGUGACCAUCUGGAAAGUCUUUGCUUGGAAGUAGAACUAUUUGGAGGAGUCUGAGGCAGGAAACUGCAGGAUUUGAAGUCUUGCUCAUUAAGAUUCAUGAGAUGCAACCAUAUGCAACCAUCUUCCCUCUGACUGGAUAAAAGCAACACUACUCUUCCGCCGCCUUCCUUUGCUCUUCUUGGAGCUUCUUGGGUAAGAAAAAAUAAUUUGUUGAUGUGUUACCUCAAAAAAUAACACAAACCUGAAAGUGUUCUGCCGUGUUGUGGAGUUGCUAAUGCUAACGGUUAGCUUCUACUAGCCGAGAGGAGACACACCCUGCUGUCUCCUGGAUGCUAAAUCAACACAGUCCUCCACAGUUGCAAGUCAAGGUGGGUGAGUCCAUGAAUGCUAAUUUAUAGAGUGAUGAAGAAGACACUAGCGUUUUGACUCAAGCAUUUUCCCGUCUACAUCCUUUCGGCAGCUAAUGCAGGAACUGGGGUAGAAGACUAUUUUCAUGUUCAUCCUGCAUGUGAAACUCAGCGUGACCGAUCUUAUUUCAUAAAAGCAUUAUAGAGUUUCUCAUGGAACCUCCGCUUUAAGGAUAAAUAUUGCGCCGUCAAAAUUUCAAAAGUAAAGUUAAGAGCCACCUUGUGCAGUUUCAAAAAAUCUAAUGUAAUCUGUUGAAGUUUGUGAUGGGAAUGACUUGACUACCUCACCUUUAGGUAAAGCUGACUCGGUUAUAGAUAUGUUAAUGUUUGUGAUUGUUAAUAUACUUUGGCUGUCAUCUUGCACUUGACUAACUCCAAAAGCUAACCAGUUGAAGAUGAAUGUCCAAUCAUUACUCCCGGGUGGUUCGUGAGAAUGUUCGCUAACAUUCCCAGGCAAAAACAUCACAUCUGAAAUAAUGCAGGAACUAAUAGAAGGUGUGCAUAAAAGGAAGAUACCUUGUACACAAAUGAGCACACAAAGUCAAUGAAACCGCACUGCAUCUUGGGUAGCUGUUCUGCACAGUUUCGGUCCAUCAUGGGCUGAGAGAGACACACACACAGGAGAGGUUUUCUUGUAAACAAGAGUUCUGUGGAACCUAUAAACUAAUGUGAAUGUAAUAAAUAAAGAAUACACUGGAGGAGUGGUGCUCUUACAAUUGGCUGCUGGUCCAGGACAUUUCUUUCCAAAUCACCCUGUUCCCAGAAUUCAGCUGCAACCAUCAGAGCCACCUGGAACCAAAAUAACACAAGAGGGAUCGAAUAAUUGCACACGAGUGGCGAGAAAAGGAAAUAAACGUAUCUCAGUCCAGAAGUUGUUUUCAGCCUUUUUAAAGCGGUAUUUUCAUCCAUAAAUAUGAAAUUUGCUAUUUUGUGAAGUGAAACAAACAAAAGAAAUCACUCUUGUACAUAAAUUUAGUAAAGCACAGACUGAACGUAUUCUAAUAGGGGGAAGAGCACAUUCAGGUUUAGAACUUACACAGUAAACGCUUUAUUUUCUUGUAAAUCUUCCACCCACUCACCUUGCUCUGUACCUCCCAAGGUUUGGUGAUGGCUGACAAGUCACAGCCUGUCAUCAUCAUGGCCCUGGAGGAGAGAAACUGUCAGUCAGUCAAAGGGGAAGACGCCACACUGCUCACGAUGCUAAUGAGUUAAGGUCCUGCUUUGUGAGAAAUCUUCCCACAAGGAAACUGGAAAGACUUUAUUUUACUAAACAGUUGAUAAUCUGUCUAAUUCAGCUACGUACAUGAUGAUCUCCUUCCUGAUGGGGUUGUUGGAAAUGUAAGCUGUGGCCUCCUUUUCAUCUGUCAUCGGCUCUGUGGCAUUAACAAUAUUCUGGAACAUCGUUCUCUUUCUGCAUGUGGAUAAACAGAGGACAUAAAAAAUUUGUCUAAACCAGUGGAAAAUCUUGACUGAAUCCACAAAAGCUAAAAGCAGUCAACAAAUUCACGAAAGACUGUAGUUAUUUUGUUUUAUUACCUGUUUCUUUAGUUAUUCCUCAAUUAAACGUCAAAUGCUUUAUAUAAUUUACAUUUUUUUUUUUCAGAAAACAUUAUUCUGGGCUGCCACCUUCUCGUGGUGGAGGGGUUUGAGUGUCCAAAUGAUCCUAGGAGCUAAGUUGUCUGAGACUUUAUGCCUCUGGUAGGGUGACCCAUGGCGAACAGGUCCUAGGUGAGGGAUCAAACAAAGUGCAGCCCAUAGACCCCCUAUGAAGCAAAAUAUAAAAGGAAACGGUGUUUCCUUGCCCUUGCCCAGACGAGGGUCACCAGGGCCCCCCUCUGGAGCCAGGAGAGUACUCCUUCCGGUGACUCCCUCGUUCUGCUGGAUGACUUCAAUGCUCACUUGAGUAACGACAGUGAGACCUGAAGAGGUGUAUGGGAGGAGUAGCCCUCCGAUUUAAAUUCGAGCAGUGUUUUGUUAUUGGAAUUCUGUGCUCAUCAUGGAUUGUCCAUAAUGAACACCAUGUUCAAGCAUAAAGGUGUCCAUAUGUGCUCUUAGCACAAGGAUCCCUUAGACUGCAGCUCGACGAUCGACUUUGCUGUUGUGUCAUCUGAUCUGCAGCCGCAUGUCUUGGAUACUCAGGUGAAGAGAGGGGCGGAGCUGUCAACUGACCACUACCUGGUGGUGAGUUGGGUUUGAUGGUGGGGGAGGAUGCCUGUCAGACCUGGCAGGCCUAAACAAAUUGUGAGGGUCUGCUGGGAACGCUUGAGGGAUUCUCCACUAUGGUCCACCAUCCAGCGCCUCGGGAGGGGAAAACUAGCAGUGCGCUACCAACACUGUUAAUGUGGGAAUGAUGUGCUGCUGACCUCUACUCGGGAGCCUCUAUUGGUGCACGUGGUCCUGCAAAAUCACGUAGAAAUCCGAGGCAAUUCCACUGGAUUUAAAAAUGGGGACCACAGGGUAUGUUCCAACUACAUGGGGAACACACUCCUGAGCCUCCGUAGUAAAGUCUGUUUAGGGUUUCUGGAGAGACUGGUCCAUUGGAUUGUCGAAACUUGGAUCCAGGAGGAGCAAUGUUGUCAUCAUCCUGGCUGUGGAACACCUAGUCAGCCCUAUACCCUUAAGCCAUUUUUUCCAAAAGCACUGCUCAGCCAAAAACAGUUCAUCGAAGUGCAGCUGGUGGUUUUCCCUGCCGUGAGUUUUACUCCUCACUAAAAUAACAUAAAGCGAUUAGUAAACAGUAUGAGGUAACCUGUAAGCAUUGUACCAGUCUCUCCUGAAAUGAAAGGCGAAGCUCUCAAUUAACCGGUCAGUCUACAUUCCUACCCUCAUCUAUGUUCACGAGCUUUGGGUAGUGACCAAAAGAAUGAGAUACAAGCGGCUGUAAUGAGUUUUCUCCGCAGGGUGUCUGGGCUCUCCGUUAGAAAUAUGGUGAUAAGCUUGGUCAUCCGGGAGGGGCUUGGAGUAGAUCAGCUGCCCCUCCACAUCAAGAUGAGCCAGUUGAGGUGGCUCGGGUGUACACUGUGCAAUUUUUUUAUUGUUUUUAGCUGAUUUUCCUGUCAUUGAGAAUCUUUGAGGUUGGGGUGAGUUUAGCGCCAUGUGUUGUGUAGUAUACACGAGGUAACGAGAGGUUUUUAACACCUCACAACCAGCUCUUGAUCAGCAAUCGGACGGUUGCAUGAAUAUCAAACAUGUUAGAUAUUUUGCUCAUCUCUUGUGAGGUUAUCGAACUGUUGAAGUAGUGCUGCGACCCAAAAGUACCAGAACUGCUCACACAGCACAUGCACCAACCUGGCUCCACAGGGAUUUCUGUGUCAACACGUUUUCUUUUAUUUUUUCACUUUACUCAACACACAAUGAUAAGGAUUGUCCAGAAAGCGAGUUUUCUGUGUU